rnacentral:rRNA from 1 species
UACAGAGGUCCCGAGCGUUGUUCGGAUUCACUGGGCGUAAAGGGUGCGUAGGUGGCUUGAAAAGUUUGAUGUGAAAGCUCAGGGCUUAACCCUGAAAUGGCAUUGAAUACUGUCGAGCUGGAGGUUUGGAGGGGGGACUGGAAUUCUUGGUGUAGCAGUGAAAUGCGUAGAUAUCAAAAGGAACACCAGUGGCGAAGGCGAGUCCCUGGACAACACCUGACACUGAGGCACGAAAGCUAGGGGAGCAAACAGG